AUUGAACGCUGGCGGAAUGCUUUACACAUGCAAGUCGAACGGCAGCACGGGGGCAACCCUGGUGGCGAGUGGCGAACGGGUGAGUAAUAUAUCGGAACGUGCCCAGUCGUGGGGGAUAACGUAGCGAAAGUUACGCUAAUACCGCAUACGAUCUACGGAUGAAAGCGGGGGAUCGCAAGACCUCGCGCGAUUGGAGCGGCCGAUAUCAGAUUAGGUAGUUGGUGGGGUAAAGGCUCACCAAGCCAACGAUCUGUAGCUGGUCUGAGAGGACGACCAGCCAUACUGGGACGGAGACACGGCCCAGACUCCUACGGGAGGCAGCAGUGGGGAAUUUUGGACAAUGGGCGCAAGCCUGAUCCAGCCAUUCCGCGUGCAGGACGAAGGCCUUCGGGUUGUAAACUGCUUUUGUACGGAACGAAAAAGCCUUGGCUAAUACCCAGGGUCCAUGACGGUACCGUAAGAAUAAGCACCGGCUAACUACGUGCCAGCCGCCGCGGUAA
rnacentral:rRNA from 1 species